GCCCUGUUAGCUCAGUGGUAGAGCGUUCCACUCGUACUACUUGGUGCAAAGGCGACAUGGAAAGGCCUGGUGUUCAAUCCACCAAUGGGGCA